rnacentral:rRNA from 1 species
UGAGGAAUAUUGGGCAAUGCCCGCAAGGGUGACCCAGCAACGCCGCGUGGAGGAUGAAUGUCGUAAGAUUGUAAACUCCUGUUAGAGGGGAAGAAUAGUACCGGUUGGACCGGUAUAUGACUGUACCCUCAGAGAAAGCCCCGGCUAACUACGUGCCAGCAGCCGCGGUAGUACGUAGGGGGCAAGCGUUGUCCGGAUUUACUGGGUGUAAAGGGCGCGCAGGCGGGAUAAAAAGUCAGUGGUGAAAUCCUACAGCUUAACUGUAGAACUGCCUUUGAUACUUUUAUUCUUUAGUUCGGGAGAGAGAGACGGAAUUCCAGGUGUAGUGGUGAAAUACGUAGAUAUCUGGAAGAACACCAGUUGCGAAGGCGGUCUCUUGGUCCGACACUGACGCUGAGGCGCGAAAGCGUGGAGAGCAAACA